rnacentral:rRNA from 1 species
CCUACGGGAGGCAGCAGUAAGGAAUAUUGGUCAAUGGACGCAAGUCUGAACCAGCCAUGCCGCGUGAAGGAUGAAGGCCCUCUGGGUUGUAAACUUCUUUUAUAGGGGACGAAAAAAGGGAAUUCUUUCUCACUUGACGGUACCCUAGGAAUAAGCACCGGCUAACUCCGUGCCAGCAGCCGCGGUAAUACGGAGGGUGCAAGCGUUAUCCGGAUUUACUGGGUUUAAAGGGUGCGUAGGUGGGUAAGUAAGUCAGCGGUGAAAUCUACGAGCUUAACUCGUAAAUUGCCUUUGAUACUAUUUAUCUUGAAUUAUCUGGAGGUAAGCGGAAUAUGUCAUGUAGCGGUGAAAUGCUUAGAUAUGACAUAGAACACCAAUUGCGAAGGCAGCUUACUACGGAUAUAUUGACACUGAGGCACGAAAGCGUGGGGAUCAAACAGGAUUAGAUACCCUGGUAGUCCACGCCCUAAACGAUGGAUACUCGACAUCAGCGAUACACUGUUGGUGUCUGAGCGAAAGCAUUAAGUAUCCACCUGGAAGUACGAUCGCAAGAUUGAAACUCAAAGGAAUUGACGGCNGAGAGAGCGAGACGACGACGAGGGAGGAGG